GUGGGGAAUAUUGGACAAUGGGCGCAAGCCUGAUCCAGCCAUACCGCGUGGGUGAAGAAGGCCUUCGGGUUGUAAAGCCCUUUUGUUGGGAAAGAAAUCCAACCGGCUAAUACCUGGUUGGGAUGACGGUACCCAAAGAAUAAGCACCGGCUAACUUCGUGCCAGCAGCCGCGGUAAUACGAAGGGUGCAAGCGUUACUCGGAAUUACUGGGCGUAAAGCGUGCGUAGGUGGUUGUUUAAGUCUGUUGUGAAAGCCCUGGGCUCAACCUGGGAACUGCAGUGGAAACUGGACGACUAGAGUGUGGUAGAGGGUAGCGGAAUUCCUGGUGUAGCAGUGAAAUGCGUAGAGAUCAGGAGGAACAUCCAUGGCGAAGGCAGCUACCUGGACCAACACUGACACUGAGGCACGAAAGCGUGGGGAGCAAACAGG
rnacentral:rRNA from 1 species